CCUGUUCUCAGGACAGGUGCGGAUCCCAGAGGUGUGACCUGCACCUGUGACAUAUCGACUGUAAUUAAUGUUGACACUAGGGAUGAGCGAAUCGACCUUGGAUGAAACAUAAAACUUUGUUCUAAUAUUGUACGGAGCAGGAGCUCUGUACCGUAUUAGAAUGUAUUGGCUCCGAUGAGCCGAAGUUAUUGCUACGUGAAGACUUUGCGUAAUAACUUCAUAAAUUAAUUUCUACUGUAAAAAAAACAAAAACAUUUCAGUUCCAAGUGGCAGGAGCUCCGUGCAGUAUUAGAACAAAGUUAUAUGCAAAUCGACUUUGGCUGCGUCAUCCGAAGUGGAUUCGCUCAUCUCUAGUGAGCGUUAGGUUUCAUGCACGCGCAGCAGAUCUGUUGCAGAAAAUUAUUCGACCGUUCCAGUCAUAUAAAUGAAGUUUGCAGAAAUGCAUGUGCUCGCCGCCAAAGCAGUGCCGCUCCCUCUACCUGCAAGCUUUUGCAAAUAGCUCUAUACUCAAAAAUGGCGCUCUCCGUGUAAUCCACAAAAAGGUGAAUUCUUGGAAAUGCAAGA